AUUUUAUCUUCAAAGUAGAUAACUUGUUUUGCAUUUUACAGGCUCAUAACUGGAGGGAGCUUGCCUUGAGACUCAAAUGAGAUGGAACUUUAAAUGAUCGAGUCGUUGCUGAAACAGAUAAGACUUUGCAGCUAUCAGAAAGCAGGCAGUAGAAUAUAGCAAAGCUUCUCCAGAUAAGAUCCUGUCAACACUCAAGUGUCAUUAGCCUUAAGCUGCGUGAAGAGUAAGGCUAGUCACACCAUUACACCAUUACAAGGUUGCCUGACCGGCUCUAAGAACCAGACAAGAAAUGUUUCCGGAGCUGCUUUAAAAGAGACAAAAACUUUCCAAGAACCAUUUUGCCCCUCCAUCAAGGUAAAGUACUUUCUUAAUAACUCCUGUGACGGAAAGAAAAAAAGAAAAAGAAAAGAAGUAAAUCCAGGCCACAGUCUCAGUCUUAUCUGAAUAUUAAAAUCCAGAAGUCUUUUUUAUAAAGUUUUGAAAGAAUUAGAGAGAACUGUAUGUUUUACUUCUUCAUUUUUAGCAAUUGGAAGAGAGAAUAGCACAUUGUAGACAUCAAUAAUUAUUCUAUUGAGUGAAUAAAUGAAUAAAGAUUAGCUAGUUGCCCAUCAUGUAUGAAGGCAAAAUACAUUGUUAAAAAUUUAAUAUGCACACACCCCUUAGAAAACAAAAGAAAUCUCUUAAUAUUGUAUUGAUAAAGAGAUGUAUUCUAAUUAAUAUUUUGAGCACUGAGAAGUCAAGGAGACCAGUAGUUCAGUCAAUGACAAGAGGGACUGAAUAGAAUCACAGCUGCAGGUCGCCACACUAGAGAACCCAGAGGUUAGUUCAGCGAUUGCUUCCCAAAGAUGCUUCUGGAUAAAACUUCAAUGAAAGUCAAAUUGUCAUAACUUUUUUUUUUUUUAACUCAUUACAGGAAUAAGCUGUAACU